rnacentral:tRNA from 1 species
UCCUUGGUGUCUCAGAUGUAAAGAGUCUGUCUGCAAUGCAGGAUGCUUGGGUUCAAUCCCCAGGUGGGGAA